ensembl:misc_RNA Metazoa_SRP Metazoan signal recognition particle RNA
GCCGGGUGCGGUGGCAUGCACCUCUAGUCCCAGCUACUCAGGAGGCUGAGGUAGGAGGAUCGCUUGAGCCUAGGAGUUCGAGGCCUCAGUGAGCUAUGAUCUCGCCUGUGAAUAAUCACUGCACUCCAGCCUGGGCAACAUAGCAAGAUCUCAUCUCUU